rnacentral:tRNA from 1 species
GGGCGAGUGGCCAAGCGGUCAAAAGCGGGAGACUAUAAAUUUGUUGAAGGUUUUCUAUGUAGGUUCGAAUCCUGCCUCUCCCA